UCGAGUUCGACAAACCAUUUUCGUAGAGAAUCACAGUUAAUGAUUGAAAAGAAAACGUUUCCAUGGUGGCAGUUGAGUACUCAUGGCUCUCUAGCAAGUAUGGACUGUGUGGUAAGCUUGGUCACAAAAAAAAAAGAUGUUUAGUUGCUUUUGAACAUCAGCCAAAAAUUUCUUCUCUUGAGACAUCAAAUGCUUGUGUUGCUUUAGCUUCUGAUACUUUCUCCUUUGAUGUUAUUUUUGAUCCAACAACAAUCACCAAGUCAAAAAAGACAUCAAACCUUCCCAGUAAUACUCCACUAUCUUCAGAACCCACUACCUCAUCUCUCCUCUAUUCAUCUUCACUACUAUCCCCGAUGUUUCCGCAUCAAUAAAGGAGACUACUCCACCUACUGAAUACUACUGCUAAUACUACUUCUACUUCUACUGUUACUUUUUUUUUUUUUUUUUUUUCAUGUAAUAACAUGAUGCUGAUAGAAAACAUAGCAUCCUACUGUUACUCUUACUACUGCUACUCCUACAGCUACUGCUCCACAUCCUGUACCGAUAUUGGGAUAGUUUUGUUGUUUAUUCACUAACUAAAACCAUUUUAAUCAAAU
rnacentral:lncRNA from 1 species